GCUUAUAUGGUGUAAUGUGCACAUGAAGGUUUCGUCUUCAAAGAGGGAGAAGUUCUCUAUAAGUU
rnacentral:tRNA from 1 species